UACGGGGGGGGCAAGCGUUGUUCGGAAUUACUGGGCGUAAAGGGCUCGUAGGCGGCCAACUAAGUCAGACGUGAAAUCCCUCGGCUUAACCGGGGAACUGCAUCUGAUACUGGAUGGCUUGAGUUCGGGAGAGGGAUGCGGAAUUCCAGGUGUAGCGGUGAAAUGCGUAGAUAUCUGGAGGAACACCGGUGGCGAAGGCGGGUCUCUGGGCCGAUACUGACGCUGAGACGCGAAAGCGUGGGGAGCAAACAGG
rnacentral:rRNA from 1 species